UCACUACAGAAGCUAAUAGAGGAUAGCACUAGCCUUUUAAGCUAGAGAAAGAGACCAACCAACCUCCUUAGUG
rnacentral:tRNA from 2 species